rnacentral:misc_RNA from 1 species
AACUUUCGGCAAUGGAUCACUUGGCUCUCGCAUCGAUGAAGAACGCAGCGAAAUGCGAUAAGUAAUGUGAAUUGCAGAAUUCAGUGAAUCACCGAAUCUUUGAACGCACCUUGCGCCCUUUGCCUAUUCUGAAGGGCAUUCCUGUUUGAGUAUCGUCAACACCUCAACUCGUCAUGUUUUGCCAUGAUGAGCUUGGACUUUGGGGGUCUUGCUAGCCUAGGGUCCGCUCCUCUAAAAUGUAUCAGCUUGUCAGUGUUUGGUGGCAUCACAAGUAAGUUAAAUAUCUACACUAGUGCUUUUCCACCAUAUAAUCUUCAGCAAUGAAGGUUCGCUGGAGCGCACAAAUGCCCCUCCUCUGUGGCGACAGCUUUGGAACGUUUAAUCUCAAAUCAUCCAGGAUUCCCCUCUGACCUUAAUCAUAUCAAUAAGCGGAGGCU